AAAGUCGUAACAAGGUUUCCGUAGGUGAACCUGCGGAAGGAUCAUUAAUAAACAUACUGUGACCCGCAAGGGUCUAAUGUAUCCACCCUUUGUGAAACUUCAAUUAUUGCUUCGGCAGCGCUCCCAGCGGGUAGAACCACUGGUGGGGUAAGGCUGUCAGAAGACCCCAACAAAACUAGUUUGAUGAAAUGUCAUGCAGUCUGAAUACCAUUCUUUGAGAAAUCAAAUUAUGUUAAAACUUUCAGCAACGGAUCUCUUGGUUCUC
rnacentral:misc_RNA from 1 species